rnacentral:misc_RNA from 1 species
GAAAUGCGAUAAGUAAUGUGAAUUGCAGAAUUCAGUGAAUCAUCGAAUCUUUGAACGCACAUUGCGCCCGCCAGUAUUCUGGCGGGCAUGCCUGUCCGAGCGUCAUUUCAACCAUCAAGCCCCCGGGCUUGUGUUGGGGACCUGCGGCUGCCCGCAGGCCCUGAAAACCAGUGGCGGGCUCGCGGCGACUCCCAUGCGUAGUAGAAACACCUCGCGUGCGGAUAGCGGUGCGGCCACGCCGUAAAACCCCCGACUUUACCAAGGUUGACCUCGGAUCAGGUAGGAAUACCCGCUGAACUUAAGC